GCCCUGGUAGUGUAGUUCGGUUUAUCACCUGGCCCUGUCGAGGCCAUAACCCGGGUUCGAAUCCCGGUCAGGGCG
rnacentral:tRNA from 1 species